CGACAGUGCGAUAGGGGGACUCCGAGUGUGAGGGCAUAUAGUCCUCGCUUUUCUGUACCGUAAGGUGGUACAGGAACAAGGACUGGGCAAGACCGGUGCCAGCCGCCGCGGUAAUACCGGCAGUCCAAGUGAUGGCCGAUAUUAUUGGGCCUAAAGCGUCCGUAGCUUGCUGUGUAAGUCCAUUGGGAAAUCGACCAGCUCAACUGGUCGGCGUCCGGUGGAAACUACACAGCUUGGGGCCGAGAGACUCAACGGGUACGUCCGGGGUAGGAGUGAAAUCCUGUAAUCCUGGACGGACCACCAAUGGGGAAACCACGUUGAGAGACCGGACCCGACAGUGAGGGACGAAAGCCAGGGUCUCGAACCGGAUUAGAUACCCGGG
rnacentral:rRNA from 1 species